rnacentral:rRNA from 1 species
CCGUUGACAAAACGGAGGAAGGUGGGAUGACGGUCAAAUCAUCAUGCCCUUAUGUUCUGGGCUACACACGUGCUACAAUGGCCGGUACAGACGGAGGCGAAGCCGCGAGGCGGUGCAAAUCCGAAAAAAGCCGGUCUCAUUCGGAUUGCAGGCUGCAAUUCGCCUGCAUGAAGUCGGAAUCGCUAGUAAUCGCAGGUCAGCAUACUGCGGUCGAAUACGUUCCCGGGCCUU